rnacentral:tRNA from 1 species
GCCCCCGUAGCUCAACGGGACAGAGCACCGCACUCCUAACGCGGAGAUCUAGGUUCGAGUCCUGGCGGGGGUA